rnacentral:rRNA from 1 species
AUUGAACGCUGGCGGCAGGCCUAACACAUGCAAGUCGAGCGGGGUCUUCGGACCUAGCGGCGGACGGGUGAGUAAUGCGUAGGAAGCUACCCGAUAGAGGGGGAUACCAGUUGGAAACGACUGUUAAUACCGCAUAAUGUCUACGGACCAAAGUGUGGGACCUUCGGGCCACAUGCUAUCGGAUGCGCCUACGUGGGAUUAGCUAGUUGGUGAGGUAAUGGCUCACCAAGGCGACGAUCCCUAGCUGGUUUGAGAGGAUGAUCAGCCACACUGGAACUGAGACACGGUCCAGACUCCUACGGGAGGCAGCAGUGGGGAAUAUUGGACAAUGGGCGCAAGCUUGAUCCAGCCAUGCCGCGUGUGUGAAGAAGGCCUUUUGGUUGUAAAGCACUUUAAGCGAGGAGGAGGCUACUAGUACUAAUACUACUGGAUAGUGGACGUUACUCGCAGAAUAAGCACCGGCUAACUCUGUGCCAGCCGCCGCAGUAACAC